rnacentral:lncRNA from 1 species
AUGAGAAAGUUUGUGCAAUGUCUGAGAAGAAAGGGUGCACUCCGGGACAACUAGCCCUCGCGUGGGUUCACCACCAGGGAGAUGAUGUUUGCCCCAUCCCAGGAACUACUAAGAUCCAAAACCUCAAUCUGAACAUUGGAGCUCUAUCUGUGAAACUCACUCCUGAUGAGAUGCUUGAGCUCGAGACCAUUGUCCAAGCAGAGUCUGUGAAAGGAGAAAGAUAUGGUAACAUGUUGGCCACUUUCAAGAACUCUGACACUCCACCAUUGUCUUCCUGGAAACCUGCAUAAACCAGCUGAGUUGACAUUGAAGCAGUCUUAACUUCUGUGUCAGUAUGAUGAAAGUAAUUGAUCUGUUGUGUCUUGAGAGUAGGUUAUCAAACCCAAAUAUCAGUGUGAAUGUAUUGUAUAAUAAACUAUCUAUAGAGUUCCCCAAGUGAAACUUCAAUCUACAACUCCAUACACUGUGUCCAAACUCUAUAAAUAAACGUCUCUUCUAUUCAAACUUCUGAGUCGUUACCGGUGACGCUUUUUAACUAAUAUGUUAGAAUUGAGACAAAAUGUUCACAACACAAGCAAAGAGAAGCCGAAUCAUGUCAUCAUUUGACAGGUAUAAGGUUAGCAUAAAAUAAAUUAUGAAAUGCCUAUGACGAUUGAAGACCAAACCUUACAAAGAUGCGUUCUUAAUAACUCUCAUCUAAAACCUUAGAAACAGCUUAUCUAUACAACCAAAUCUACCAAGGAUCUGUGUUAUUUUUUUUUGCUGUAGCUUCAAAAGAAAAAAGCUAAAGCAUAAUUGGUGAAAAUUAAUAGGAAUUUGACAUAGGCUUUAUCAUAUUAUCAUAGCAUUUCUAUUUCAUAUUCAUAUUAACGUCUUAAACUUUGGUCUAUAUAUCAUAUAUAUGUUUUAAACAUCAAAUUGUGUAUAUUCAUCUGUAGAUAAAAAAGAGUGAGAUGAAAUAUUAGGUAUACAAAUGAAUAUGGAGAGAUAACAAAAGAGUUGUAAUUUAAUAUGUUAAGUUGUAAUUUAUUUAUUUAUUUAUUUUUAAUUUAAAUUUACUUAACAAGUUUUGAUAGGUUUUAGUUUCAGUAGUAGGGGAAUUUUUGUCCAAAAAUGUUCAAUAAUUCACAUUUCCAUCCUUGCAAAUAUUUUACUUAUUCUUGUAUAUGGACUUAUGCAGCGAAAAUUCUCAAGAAAAAAAUAUAAACCCUUUAUACUAUUAAAAUGGCUUGAUCUUAAAUGGAUUCAGGGCGAGUGCACUGUUUGACUUCCCAACUAAGCAGGCCCUAAUAAGUAGUAAAGAUCCACAUACUCAUUCAGGAUGGAACUGAUGUUAUUUCUUGCCAGAUGAAAUAGGCUGAUGUUGGGGAUGAUUGGUUGGGAUAUAUCAAGUGGCUUUAGCUUUAGUUUCUAUCUACAACCAUAAAAGCUACCAAUUGUGUUUUAUGUAGUUUUUAAAGUUAAAGCCAAUUUUUUUUUGUAAAAUGGUUGUAGAAGCUUAUCUUCUAAAGCAAAAGAAAAAAAUUUUGGUGUAGGAAUUUUUUUCCUUUAUUGGUGAUGAUUGAUUCCACUGUGGCUUUAAAAAUUAAGCUGGAAAAAUUUAGACAUGGGUAAGUUAAUUGUAGCUGUAAAUAUGUUAAUGUAGACUUUUGUACAGAUGUUUUUGGUCUAGUUAAAUUUGUUGUAGGUAUAAGAUAUAUGAUGUAGAUAUUUAAAAUAAAAUAUGUGAAAUAUGUGAUGUAUAUAUAAAUUUUUUUUUUAUCAAUUAAUAUAAUUUGGGUGAUUGUUUGGGUUGUACCAUGAAAGUCUGUGAUGUAAAAUUUAGUAUGUAGAAUUUUUUGUUGUAGAUGUACUGACUGUAACUGGAAAAAAUAAAUAGAAAAAAUAAAGAUAUCCCUUAUAUACUAAAGCACAAGUCACUUAAGCAAUUAAAUUUUGACAUGUGUCAUUGUUUUACAAUUUUAAAAAAACAAAUACACUGCAUUCCUUUAUUUUCAAUAAAAUUUGUAACUGCCAAAAAAAGUAAAAUUCCUUUUUUUCCAACUACCACAAUCACACGUUGGAUUGGAAGAUGAAUUUUAUAACCCUCAAACGGUUUCCUACUUUCCUAUAUAUAACUAAAUCAACUAUUUUCUGUAUAUUUCCCCUCUUCUUCUUAAUAGUUUCAUAUUUUAUAGUUUUAUUCGAGUUUUGUCUUAUAUUUUGUAGUUAUUUUUUCAACAAAAAAAUUUAGACAUUUCGAAUAAGGUACAACAAAAAAAUAAACGGUCUAAUAACUAAAUUCCUAAAUUUUCUCAGAUUAUUAAAGCUUCUUUCAAAAAAAUCAUCAACACCGCGUUCUAAAGUAAUGAUAAUGAUUUGAAACUGUUUUGUCUUCUACAUUCUUAACAUGAUCUUUUCUCUCACAUAUUUUCUUUUGGUCUUCUUCUCCAUCGCUUCAGUUUUAAGGCAUUCAUAUUAAAUAAGAUAAAAAUUAAAACUACAGAACCAAAAAGAAGAAGAAAACAUAUAACAGACUUAGAAAGAGAUGCUUGGAAUGGAGUGCCAGCCAAGGUAAAAGAGCAGAUAACAAUAUUUUUUUAAUAUUUAUAGCUUUAUAUUCAUCGGUUUUUGGAUUGAAAUUUUUGACUGUGCAAAAUAAAAGGCCAAAUUUUUGGAUGCUCAAAACUUUGGCUAGAGCGUAUUGGACAACUGAAAAAUUUAAAAACCCAGGUUAACUGAAAAAGAAAUUCAACACGGUAAAAAUUCUAAUUUGAGCAUUUUAGAGUUUGGCUCUUCUAAGUUUCAUUAACCUAGGUUUUUAAACUUUUCAGUUGUCCGUUGUCCAAAAAAAAAAGGACAACUGAAAAGUUUAAAAACCCAGGUUAAUGAAACUUAGAAGAGCCAAACUCUAAAAUGCUCAAAUUAUAAUUUUCACCGUGUUGAAUUUCUUUUUCAUGAAUUAUUUCUAUUCUAACAUUUUAAAACUUUUUCUUUAGAUAUUGGAAAACUAUAUAUGGUCAAAAAAAACAAAAAGGUAAACGGAAACAAACUAUGUCAAUAACAUAUUCACAAUGGAGUAAAUCAAUUUUCAAUUUGCUAGAACGUGUUUAUUAGUUCGGGGUGGUGAUAAUUCAAAAUAGUAUUAAACUCUUUUUAUUAUAAAUUCUAUACAUAUUAUAUUUUUUAAAAAAAUGUAACAUAUAAAACAAUGGCCGUGCGUGUAGCACGGGAACAUAUACUAGUUAGUAAUAUACUUCUGCAGCCAUAUAUUGUUUUACAUCACAAAAAUAUGGCUUUGGUAAAUAAAGGGUUUACAUCCAUUUUUAAUUUUUUUUGUAGCUUUAAAAAUUGACUUAAAUUAUGAAUGGAAAUUUUAAAGGUUGUAUAUAGAGUUAAAGCUAAAGCAUGUAUCUACAUCCGAACCAAUCACUCCAAAUGUAUAUAUUAAUAUCUUUUAUAAAUUAUCAAAGUUUAUUGUUAUUUAAAAUGUGAUAUGUAAAUAAUUUUUAUGUUAUUUAAAAUAUUUCAAUAAUUUAAAAAACACCCAAAAUUAAAUUAAAGUAUUUAUAAAUGUUAUUAUUAUGAUCAUCUAAUUUAUUUAAUAUUAUAGAUAAUUUUUUUUUAUUUUACAGAUUCUACAGCCUAUUAAAAGAAAAUGUAGGUUUUUUUCCUAAAAUACAUAAAAAAUUGUUUUUUUUAUGUAGCUUUAAAAAAAACUAAAUCAUGAUUGGUAAAAUUAAUAGAAACUUGAUAUAGACUUUAACUUUUAAAAAUAAAGCUACAACAUGAUUAGUAAAAUUUUAGUGAUUUACAAAUAAAUAAAGCUAAAAGUAGGGAGAUAAAACUCAACCAAUCACCCCCAUUAUUCUUUUCUCAUUUAAUUUUUACAGUUAAAUUAGUUACAGCUAAAUAAAAAAUUUAUAGACUAAGGGCCUGACUGGUUCAAACGCAGUGGUUGCGGUAGCUGUUGCGGGAGUUUGCUGAUGCGGAUGGUUACGGUUUCUAGCGGUUUUAAGAGAUUUGUACGACUGGUUCUACGGUUAGAAAUUGGUGCGUUUGCGGGAUACUUAUGACUGGUUAACUACCAAAUGCAGCAGCGGUUAAAUAAUAAAUUAAUAAUAUUUACAUUUAUAUAAUUAUAAAAAUAUCAAAAAUCAUAAUAUUAUAAUAAAUAUAAAAAUUAUAUUUAGAAAGUUAUAGUUUUAAAUUUUUAAAAAUUAUAGAAAAUAUUUUUAUUUUAAAAUUUUAUAAUAUUAAUUAAAAUAUAAUAGAUAUAAUUUAUUAUUAUUAUAAUUCCAAUUUAAAAAUUGUAUUGAAUAUUUUUAUUUUUGUAUUUAUAUUGUGUUUUUUAAUAGAAAAAAAUUUAUCCUCUUUCAACCACCCGCAGCCGCAAACGCUAGCUGGAACCAGUUUUUGAAUUUAUGAAGUUGAGAACGGUUUAAAGCGGUCUAGAGCGAUUUGAGUGAUUGUUGCAAAACGCCAACAACCGCUACCAAACGCAAAAGCUGCGUUUGCGGGUGAUAGAGGGGAAACCAGUCAUACCCCAAAUCUUGUAGGAAAGUUUCUACUGCAACAAUCCAACCAAUCACCCCCGUUAUCUUGUGGUUGUAUACAGAAAAUAGACUAUCAGGAUGGGAAAGGUUUAUUGAGAAAGGACAGCCAAACAAAAAGUUACACUGGAUAAACACUUGCAUGAGAAAAUCUUUCUUAGUCAAUUUUCCGCUCAUGUCAAUCUUUUUUCUACCAGCUAGCACUUGGAUCAGAUUCACACACGUACGAUUGCAAAGACAAAAAAAUUAGAAAUCAAUCAGCUUGGACACAUAAAGGGUUGAAGAAAUUUGACUGAAAGCAUGAGCAUUCUGCCAUAGAAGCUCCAUGCUGCAUCACUCGAACCUAAGAAAACAUGAGUUUGUAAAGUAUAAAUUAUUUUAUUUAUAGAGUAAAUCUAUUUUUUUAAUCAUAGAGUGAAAUAGAGUUAAGUUGAAACAUUUUCAUUUUAAAAUCUGUUUUAAAAGUAAAAAGAGAGUAGAGUUGAAUCUAGUCCAAGGAUAAAGAGCCUACUAUUUCAACGUAUUAUUGGCUAGCGCUUUUUUUGUUUUGUUUUUUUUUUGAACACUGUGUAGUGCUUUUUUUCUUCAUAAAUUUUGCUGGUAGUAGUACUACAGCAAAACAAUCAAAAGACACACACGGCUUCUUUUAGAGUAUCCUCGUCAUUACCAAUUGAUUCACCAACCCACCCCACCCCACCCCACCCACCCUCUCCACUGAAAAGAAGAAAAAAAAAGGUUCAAAACUCUAUACAAAAGAGGCAAAGCGAGAUUAAAAAGAAAAGAAAGAGGUGUGCGAGGGAAAUCAAUGGCGGAAGCUAGCGGAGUGAAGAGAAUGAAGCUAGGAAGCCAAGGGGUUGAGGUCUCGGCUCAAGGCCUUGGUUGCAUGGGCCUCUCAACCUUGUACGGUGCUCCCAAGCCCGAAACUGACGCUAUCACUCUUCUCCACCACGCAAUUGAUACCGGCGUUACUUUCCUAGAUACCUCCGACAUCUACGGUCCUGAGACCAACGAGCUGCUUCUCGGAAAGGUUCGCUUCCCAUCAUUUCAGAUUCUUUAGAAAUGAUGUUCAUUGUUUGAAGUUUGAACUCUCUCUGUCAGGCUCUGAAGAAUGGGUUUAGGGAAAAAAUAGAGCUUGCUACCAAAUUUGGAAUCAUUUACGGAGAGGGGGAGAGAGAGAUAAAGGGAGAUCCUGCUUAUGUUAGGGCUGCUUGUGAAGCAAGUUUGAAGCGUCUUGAUGUGGAUUGCAUUGAUCUUUAUUACCAGCAUCGGAUUGAUACUCGUGUCCCUAUCGAAAUCACUGUAAGCCAGUUUCACAUCUUUGGCUUGGGUUGUGUUAGAUUCUUUUAGGAGGAUGCUUUCUGGUGUGAACCUGGCACCUUUUGCUCAAGUUAAAAGAGUUUCUUUUAUGUUUGGUUAAUUCUUAGAUGGGAGAACUGAAGAAGCUAGUUGAAGAAGGUAAGAUAAAGUACAUUGGUUUGUCUGAAGCCUCUGCCUCAACUAUCAGAAGAGCACAUGCUGUUCACCCCAUAACAGCGGUUCAGCUAGAGUGGUCUUUGUGGACAAGAGACGGGGAAGAAGAUAUCAUUCCUACCUGCAGGUAUCAUCUACUCCUUUCUUUGCGCACUAUCCAUCAAAUCAUAUAACGUCAUCUUCACUUUCCUUUUCUUCAGGGAGCUUGGGAUUGGGAUUGUUGCUUACAGUCCUCUAGGACGUGGCUUCUUCGCUGCUGGACCAAAACUUGUUGAGAAGCUGGACAAUGAUGACUUCAGAAAGGCAAGGCAACUACUACUACUCUCUGCAUUGAAUAGUCUUGGCUUGCUUAACUCUGUUUCUGGUUGCAGAGACUACCAAGAUUCAAACAGGAAAACUUAGACCACAAUAAGAUUCUCUACGACAAGGUUUGUGCAAUGUCUGAGAAGAAAGGUUGCACUCCUGCACAACUAGCCCUGGCUUGGGUUCACCACCAGGGAGAUGAUGUUUGCCCCAUCCCAGGAACCACUAAGAUAGAAAACCUCAAUCAGAACAUUGGAGCUUUAUCUGUGAAACUCACUCCUGAUGAGAUGGCUGAGCUCGAGACCAUCGUCCAGCUAGAGUCUGUGAAAGGAGAAAGAUACGCUAACAUGACGGCCACUUUCAA